rnacentral:snRNA from 1 species
AGCCCGCAGCGAUACUGA